ACGGCGCCGGCUGCGGCUCGGAGCUCCCUGUCCGCCCCCGCCAUGUCCCCGGGGCUCCCCGGCCCCGCGCUGGCCCUGGGGCUUCUGGCGCUGCUGCUGCUGCCGCUGCUGCCGCUGCCCGGGACUCGCAGUGACUGUGGGCCCCUGCCAAAGCUGAAUUAAGUUAUUCCCCUCUGAUAUGGAUCGGAUAGAGGGCUUCCCUGUUGACACACAAGUUACAGACAAGUGCUGUGAUGAGUUUUUUAAAAUCCCUGGAAAGUCAGACGCUGUAGUGUGCCUUUCAAACUCACAACGGUCAAACGUCAAUGAGUUUUGUGGUUCGAUUACGUGUUCUUCCCCUCCUUACAUUGCCAAUGGAACAUACGAUGGAAGGGGUGUAGAAAACUUUGCUUAAUACUCAACAGUAACUUACAGAUGUGACUGUGGGUUCCAGCUUAUUGGAGCUGCCUCCAUUCAUUGUACAACAAAAGAUAAAACAAGUGGAAUCUGGAGUGGACCUGCUCCUAAAUGCAAAGACACAACUGCACGUGUCCUAUUAAAGGGAAAUGAAACAAGUGGUACUUUCUCAGGUUCUUAUAAUGCAUCCAGUAACAUGGUACCCGAGCAGCAUCUGAAAAAGAAAAUAAAGAGCAGACCGCAUUAUGUAUCACAAUUCCAAAACAAAUAUUUCACCAUCACUUCCUCCCGUUCUUCCUCAUUUCCCAAAGGUGACCUGAGGACACGAGGUAGUUGGAUUACUCCACCAUAGUUCAGAUUUGCUGUACCCCUGUACGUUAAUCUGAACUAUUGUUCUGUCAGAACAAAUGAAAGAUCUAUUUGCCGCCAAAGUUACAUGGGAAUCUCUGGAGUAUUACCCAGCACCACGUGCUUUCAAAACUUAAAAUGGUCACAAGUCCCAGGGUUCUGUGGAACGAGAUCUUUGCUAUCCAGGAGAACAAGAGCAUGGCAGAGCUGCUGCUAUAACAGAUUUCCAAUUCGGUGCAAGAGUGGAUUUCACCCGUGAAGAAGGGAGAGGAUCAGGCUGUGGUGAAUGACUGAGAGCUGCUGGCUGACUCUGGAAACUGAGCAUCAAAGGAGAUUCCUCGUUGUCCAAACCCAGUGAUUGAAAAUGGAGAACAGAUCUCUAUAAGUGAAACUGAAUAUACAAUUGGAAACCAUGUUGAGUUUCGAUGUGAAUCUGGCUACAUCCUCGAAGGUAGCAAGUCGAUCGAAUGCCAGUCAAAUAAGACGUGUAAUCCUCGAGUGCCAUCUUGUAUUAAGGAAACAGCCUGCAAGACCCUGCGUACUGGCUAACCGCUCAGGCCAAACAGCUCUUUUCAACCUGUCGUGUGGAAGCAUUUACAGUGUAAGCUCAGCUUGAAACAUGGGAGUCACCCCAUGGAAGUCAACACUACCUGUGUGCUUAAAGUUAUGCACGUGCUCAAGAGAUUUGUGGAAUGGAGCCUUGAGGAAAGAAAAGCACCGUCUCCAUUUGGAACAGCAGGAGAAACGUAGCAAGGCAGAGCUGGAAUUUGGCCAGGAAAACAAGCUCAGAGCGGUAAGAAUGGCCUUGGAUCUUCAGCAACCACAAGCGCCCAGGAGCUUGCCAGAGGGAAGCAAAGGGAGCGUCAAGGGAUGUGAGCGUAGGGGAAAGCCAGGAGAGGGGAGAAGGUGGGAAUGGGAUUGAAGGGAGACGCUCAUUCUCCUACUCACUGAGAGCUCCCCCAGGCGGCAGCAUGAGUACCAGGGUCCCCAGGAGCCGCAGGGUCCAGCCAGAGGGAAGUGACAUCAUGGUGCCAGGUGAGUUCCCAGAGAAUGGUGGUGACAGCACAGUCCAGGCAGGGCUGCAGCCGCUCCUCACCCUGCGCACUGUGCAACACGGACCCCAGGCAUGGCCACCCAUAUACACAUGAGGCAAGGGGAAGUGGGAAUCCGUGCACUGCAGCUGCAGGGGCCCAGGAAGGGGAUGGGCAGAGUGUGCACAUGCUGCCCAGCCCCCCCUGUAGUGUUGUACUCGUGGCAAGGAGUAGAGCCGGAUACAGCUGCAGUUAGUACCGUAACACUGAGCACCGUACAGCUAAGGUUUCUCAGGGGAAGGGAAAUGCAGCAUUGUCCCCAGAGCAGAAAAGUAACAAUCACAAAGUUAUUCUGAUACAGCAGCACUACGCCACCCUGUGCUGAUCAGCACCCCCGAACAGGGAUGAUUUCUGAAACACAAGAGGCAGUCCAGUUACCAAAGGAUCCUUUUUACUCAUCCUGUGGUUCAAAUUCAUCCCUGCUGUUACUCCAUCCACAUCCGCUAAUGUCAUUACACCGGGGAUGUAUCUGACUCAAAGCUCCCCCUGCCUUACAGAGGCAAACCGAACUAUGCUAGAGACAGACCUUCCCCCGUAAUUCCACAGAACAGGUACCAUCCUGGCAGCAGUAGGACAAACUGCCCCCUAAGCUACCUGGCCAAAUAAGUUUCAACUCUAAUCAUCUCUAGGUAUGAGAGGAGGGGCUGUCCCAUGCCCCUUCGAGUCCCUGAUGUGACAGCUCACUGGACUGGGGGAGAUAUUAGUGCUUUGCUCCUCAGGAAAAGGAGCCUUUAAACAUGCUGGGCAUCUUCCUGUCUUACAGCCAAAGGGAGAAAAUUAUAAAAACCAAAGACGAUCACCAGUUUUUACAGUUGCACUUUAUUGUAGCCCUGCAGGGCAGAAAUAAUUGCUUGAUCACAAAGGCGUAGGUUAGAGGACACCCCUAGCAUUCAUUGGGCAAUGGGGAAAUGGUUGGCGGGUUACUGCUCUACAGUUAAAUUUUCACCAUAAAUUCGUGGGACUAUGUGUGAGGCUAUAGAAAUGCUACAGAUGAGAUCAGCACUGUUGUCAAUCAAAAAUAGAUUUGUUCAGAUUAGGAAGGAAAAAACUGUUGACUUUUUAACUAAGAGGAUAGGGCAGAAAAUUGGCUUUAAGCUUUACAUCUUCAGUGGGGGCACAGGGAUUUCUGAACAGAGAUGCCCUUAAAGUUCAUGGAAAUGAGGCAGUUAAAUAGCCAUUCACUACUUUAAAUAUGUUUGGGUUAUAAUGCAUUAAGGUUUAACAUAUGCAACAGCUGGGUGAUUUCUGAAAGCUGAAGGUUGUUGGUGUAUUCUGCAUAGGGUCUGAAGCUUGAGUCAGCUGAAGAUUUACUUCCGUACAUUUUAAUCUAGUUUCUCUCAACUUGCUUUCCCUUUCCGAAUUGAAAGGAAUCUGAAUUCAACCCUGUUACUAUAGCCCUCCCCCCCCAAACAUAGGAUUUUAUUCUCUUGUUUAUCUAGUAGGGACUUGUGUGUCAGAUUGAAAGGAAAGAGCAAAAAAAACAAAACAAAACAAAAAACUUUAAUCACUGGCACACAGCAUGAAAAAUAUCUGAUUCCUGAUGUACUGGCUAAUCUCUUCCUGGAUCACUAGAUGUACUAGCAAGUUCUCUGCAAAUAGUAACAAUCAUCAUAUGUACAAAGUAAUUAUACAAACUGCAUCCAAAGGAGACAGUUUGUCACAGUAAGGGGUCAUAGAUAUCAGCUAUUCAUUGUAUUUUUGUAGGUCCCGCUUAAGUUUCGGAAUCUCCAGAUACAGUUUCUGUGCUUCCAGCAGGGUUCUCAGUUCUGUCAGAGACACACCACAGUGGAGAAACUUUACACUCUCAUGAACCAUGUUGCACAGAGGAGAAUCAAUUUGCUUCUCCUGAAAAACAGAAACAGAGGGAAUGUGAUUACGCUGAAGACAGGGUCUUAUCCUCACAAGCAUGCUUGCUCCUUUUUUAUCUGAACUAUUAUCUAUAUGGCUGUCUCAUACAGUCUGUAUCUGACAUAUUGAUCCUGAAAGAUGUUUCAUAUUCUCAAUUAGAGCUGGCCAGAAGAUGAAAAUGUCAUAUGAAAUAUAUUGUGCUUUUUAAAACAGUUUCAUUCUGAACAAAACAAAAAUGCCCCUGAAAUUUUUCAGGAGAACGGAUUUCAAGAAAAAUUCUACUUCAAGAGACCCACCUGAAGUGGAUUUUUACCCACGAAAGCUUAUACCCUAAUAAAUCUGUUAGUCUUUAAUGUGCAA